CUUUCUCUCAGCGAGCGAAAACCCUACGCACUUCAAGACCUCCUCCUCCAACGAAAACCCUACACAAUUCAAACCUUCUGCACAGUGUACUAGCGUGACCGGUUUCGAUUGGGAAGUGCCCUGCAUAGUGUACCGGCGUGGCGUUGAGCAUAGCAGCAGUGUUGCUUGGUGCUUGUAAUCCCAAGACUAGGGCUAGGAUCAUUGCUUUCGUUGGUGGUCCCUGCACUGAAAGACCUGAUUCGAGGAGACCAAUACGUUUGGCUUUGAAAGAUUUGCGAGGAAGGUUGUUUGCUUCAUCUUCCUUCACCAUCCAUGGUUCUAGUGGCUUGCACAAGCAUAGAUGGAACAAUGAAUUGCUCAAAAGGUUUGCCAUUGCAGCAGGUGAUAAAGGAAAAUCUGAAGCCACUGAAGUUGCUGUCACUGAAGGGAAAAAGACCUGGUAUAGUAAAAUAGGUUUUAAAUAUCUUUGUCCAAGCUGUUUAUUGUCCAUUCCUUCAAUUCAAAGAGUUUUU
rnacentral:sRNA from 1 species